rnacentral:rRNA from 1 species
AUGAAAUGGUGCAGACCUCCUAGGGGUUUCGUUAAAUUGAAUGUGGAUGCUUCUUUUGAUCAUGAUCAGCUAAGAGGCACAGCGGGUGCUGUUACCAGAGAUGACAAAGGAAACUUCAUAGUAGGUGGUAACUGGAGGAUUCAGUACUAUGCGGAUGCCCUGACAGCAGAGGCGGUAGCACUCAGAUUUGGUUUACUGUUGGCACAAAAAACGGGCUGCAAUUGUCUAAUCAUCAAUUCUGAUAAUAUGGAGGUCAUCGACACAAUGAAGAACGGAGGAUAGUCCGCGGGACCGGCUGCUGCAAUGAUUGCUUUUUAUGGCCUGUAAUUUCCUCAAACCAGUUUUGAACAUUGUAACAGGGAAGCGAAUAAAGUAGCUCAUGAGCUUGCUAGAUUAGCAAAAGGUUUCAUGACUAGGGAUUGGAGAGAGGAGCCCAUGGAAGAUCUUGUAACUCUCUUGAUAGACGAUGUAACAAUUAUUUCUAAUUAA